rnacentral:lncRNA from 1 species
GGGGAAAGGGCUUUCCUUUGUUGUGUCACAGAAGAGCUCCCAGCAGAGCGCAGCUUUCGCGUCUCUCCUGCAUAUCUCGGCCCUCUGCUUCCAGCAGGCAGGCUCUCCCGGACUCAGGUGGGAUGGGGGACAGGCGGUGGGUGAGGGGCAAGCACAGCCCCACAUGCCCUGGAGUCACUGUUUCCCCCUGACUUAAACACCCUCCUACAGAGUUUGACCGGCCCUGCCAGAUCUGCUCACUCAGUGCUUUUUUUUUUUCAUUCUCAGGGACUCCAUGGUCCUCCACAGCCUGGCUGUCGUCAGGGUCUCCGCUCUUUAGUCCCCCUCUGUGCCGUGUUGAUGGAGCUUGUGUCUCUCAUCUUUGUUUUUCAAAUACAAUGGCUACAGGAAGUGCUCAACAGAAUUUUUUUUUUACAUAAUUGAGUGGAUGGAUGGAGGCAUGAGCCUCUACAUGCAAAAACAGAUAAAUGGAUAAUAACAAAGAAUAAAUUUCACUUUUAAAUUGUUGUUAAGGGUCA